GACGAACGCUGGCGGCGUGCCUAAUACAUGCAAGUAGAACGCUGAAGGAGGAGCUUGCUCUUCUGGAUGAGUUGCGAACGGGUGAGUAACGCGUAGGUAACCUGCCUGGUAGCGGGGGAUAACUAUUGGAAACGAUAGCUAAUACCGCAUAAGAGUAGAUGUUGCAUGACAUUUACUUAAAAGGUGCAAUUGCAUCACUACCAGAUGGACCUGCGUUGUAUUAGCUAGUUGGUGGGGUAACGGCUUACCAAGGCGACGAUACAUAGCCGACCUGAGAGGGGGAGCGGCCACACUGGGACUGAGACACGGCCCAGACUCCUACGGGAGGCAGCAGUAGGGAAUCUUCGGCAAUGGACGGAAGUCUGACCGAGCAACGCCGCGUGAGUGAAGAAGGUUUUCGGAUCGUAAAGCUCUGUUGUAAGAGAAGAACGAGUGUGAGAGUGGAAAGUUCACACUGUGACGGUAUCUUACCAGAAAGGGACGGCUAACUACGUG
rnacentral:rRNA from 1 species